rnacentral:rRNA from 1 species
UUCCAGACUCCUACGGGAGGCAGCAGUGAGGAAUAUUGGUCAAUGGGCGGAAGCCUGAACCAGCCAAGUCGCGUGAGGGAAGAAGGCCCUGCGGGUCGCAGACCUCUUUGGACGGGGAGCAAGGCCGCCGCCGUGUCGGCGGAAGGAGAGUACCCGUAGAACAAGCAUCGGCUAACUCCGUGCCAGCAGCCGCGGUAAUACGGAGGAUGCGGGCGUUAUCCGGAUUUAUUGGGUUUAAAGGGUGCGCAGGCGGCACGGCAAGCCGGCGGUCAAAUCGCGGGGCUCAACCCCGGGACUGCUCUUGGAACUGCGUGGCUGGAGUGCAGGAGGGGCAGGCGGAAUUCCUAGUGUAGCGGUGAAAUGCGUAGAUAUUAGGAGGAACACCAGUGGCGAAGGCGGCCUGCUGGACGAUGACUGACGUUGAGGCUCGAAAGCGUGGGGAGCAAACAGGAUUAGAUACCCGUGUA